AUUGAACGCUGGCGGAAUGCUUUACACAUGCAAGUCGAACGGCAGCACGGACUUCGGUCUAGUGGCGAGUGGCGAACGGGUGAGUAAUGUAUCGGAACGUGCCCAGUCGUGGGGGAUAACGUAGUGAAAAUUACGCUAAUACCGCAUACGAUCUAUGGAUGAAAGCGGGGGAUCGCAAGACCUCGCGCGGUUGGAGCGGCCGAUAUCAGAUUAGGUAGUUGGUGGGGUAAAGGCCCACCAAGCCAACGAUCUGUAGCUGGUCUGAGAGGACGACCAGCCACACUGGAACUGAGACACGGUCCAGACUCCUACGGGAGGCAGCAGUGGGGAAUUUUGGACAAUGGGCGAAAGCCUGAUCCAGCCAUUCCGCGUGCAGGAUGAAGGCCCUCGGGUUGAAAACUGCUUUUGUACAGAACGAAAAGGUUUCUACUAAUACUAGGAGCUCAUGACGGUACUGUAAGAAUAAGCACCGGCUAACUACGUGCCAGCCGCCGCAGUAA
rnacentral:rRNA from 1 species